rnacentral:rRNA from 1 species
UACGUAGGGUGCAAGCGUUGUCCGGAAUUAUUGGGCGUAAAGAGCUUGUAGGCGGUUUGUCGCGUCUGCCGUGAAAAUCCGGGGCUCAACCCCGGACUUGCGGUGGGUACGGGCAGACUAGAGUGUGGUAGGGGAGACUGGAAUUCCUGGUGUAGCGGUGAAAUGCGCAGAUAUCAGGAGGAACACCGAUGGCGAAGGCAGGUCUCUGGGCCGCUACUGACGCUGAGAAGCGAAAGCGUGGGGAGCGAACAGG